ACAGCAGGAGGAUCACGCGGAGUUACCAGCUUCUUAUCAAUUAAGGAAGGAUAAAGUUCAACAUACGUCAUCGGAAUCGGGUCAAAAGUCACCCUCUUCCUCUCAUAGUUGCUAGUGUUGGUGUUGUUAUUAUUGCGAGGCUGGUAAGCCUGUUGUUGUUGACGAUGUUGUCUUGUGGUUAUUGUUGAACUUCUCUGAAAGCAGGU
rnacentral:lncRNA from 1 species